rnacentral:rRNA from 1 species
AUUGAACGCUGGCGGAAUGCUUUACACAUGCAAGUCGAACGGCAGCACGGGGCAACCUGGUGGCGAGUGGCGAACGGGUGAGUAAUAUAUCGGAACGUGCCCAAUCGUGGGGGAUAACGUAGCGAAAGUUACGCUAAUACCGCAUACGAUCUACGGAUGAAAGCGGGGGAUCGCAAGACCUCGCGCGAAUGGAGCGGCCGAUAUCAGAUUAGGUAGUUGGUGGGGUAAAGGCUCACCAAGCCAACGAUCUGUAGCUGGUCUGAGAGGACGACCAGCCACACUGGGACUGAGACACGGCCCAGACUCCUACGGGAGGCAG